CUGGAGCGGGGUCCAUAAAUGGUUCAGCUGAACGUGGAACCUAGGCGGGCCCAUCAGCGCGUCCGCCGCCAGGGGAGUCUGUGCGCGAAGGUGCGGCCUAGGCAUCGCCGCAAAGCGCCUUCCCGAUUCGCUUCUCUUAGGCGGGUCAGCGGUCCCAAAGCUCGGGGAACAGAUCCCAAUUUACAAAAUGUCGCCCAU
rnacentral:lncRNA from 1 species